AAACACACACUCUACAUUAUAUACACACUCUGCAUUAUAUACACAGAGUGUGUAUAUAAUGCAGAGUGUGUGUUU